UAAAAAUAACCAAAAACAUACUUCUUCUCCCUCCAUUCUUUCACUUAGAUUUUUAGGUAAUAAUUUUCAAAUAAACAAUGAAUUUAGCACAAGAUAAUCUAGGUAAGAGGUUCCUAUGGGAUACCAUAGACGCUUAGGGUGCUAGCACCUUCCCUUCGCGUAACCAACCCCCGAAUCCAAAGUCUCGAAGGGGUUUUUACUCAUUUUUUCCCUUCCCAAGAAUAAAAAUCGAGAGUUCAAAGAUUGACGAUUCAAAUCAAUCAAUGGUUUGAUAUCCGAAAAUCGGGGAGCACAGUUACCUUUGUAGUAUGUACUUAAGAAGUCCUAGGAGAAUGGAGCUAGAGUAAAGUGAUUAUUUAUUGACUAACAAAUUGCAUCAUAAAGAGUUGAAAUUGUAGGGAAUAAAGUGAUUAUUCCAGAAUUAAGGUAGGGUUGUUAGUGAAAUAGGUUAUUUAUGGUAAUUUGAAUUUUACAUCUCAUUUAAGAGGACAAUAUGAUGAAUUUUCAAUAUAAUUGGUUCAACAUUUUCCUUAAAAGUGAGAUUAGCGCAUAAUCAAUCAUGCAGUAACAUAUAUAAACAUUGACACAGUGAGAAUAUAUAAGAUUGAUGGUAAAUAAUAGUCAUGAAUGAGUUGAGUGGCAUUCAACCAACAUUGAAGCUGAAAUAUUAGUAAGGUAAUUGCCUGAGUAGGUAAUAGAUAAGAUAAUAAAGGAUAAUUGAGUUCCAUGAGGGGUUCCUCAAGACAUUCAACCAACAAAAUAUCAAAGUUAAACAUAGUUUAUAGUCCAAAAGGUGGCAUUAUAGUAAUGUCAUAA
rnacentral:lncRNA from 1 species